GACGAACGCUGGCGGCGUGCCUAAUACAUGCAAGUUGAGCGCUGAAGGUUGGUACUUGUACCAACUGGAUGAGCAGCGAACGGGUGAGUGACGCGUGGGGAAUCUGCCUUUGAGCGGGGGACAACAUUUGGAAACGAAUGCUAAUACCGCAUAAAAACUUUAAACACAAGUUUUAAGUUUGAAAGAUGCAAUUGCAUCACUCAAAGAUGAUCCCGCGUUGUAUUAGCUAGUUGGUGAGGUAAAGGCUCACCAAGGCGAUGAUACAUAGCCGACCUGAGAGGGUGAUCGGCCACAUUGGGACUGAGACACGGCCCAAACUCCCACGGGAGGCAGCAGUAGGGAAUCUUCGGCAAUGGACGAAAGUCUGACCGAGCAACGCCGCGUGAGUGAAGAAGGUUUUCGGAUCGUAAAACUCUGUUGGUAGAGAAGAACGUUGGUGAGAGUGGAAAGCUCAUCAAGUGACGGUAACUACCCAGAAAGGGACGGCUAACUACGUG
rnacentral:rRNA from 1 species